rnacentral:lncRNA from 1 species
CCAUCUUGAAGAAUAUUAAUUUCCAGUUAUCAGGAUAUAUUAUAUGGAAAUGCUAACAAGAAGAAUUAGCUUGAAUUCUGAUGCAACUGCUCUUUAAAUGAGGACCAAGUGUUGCAGGUCUUGUCCUACUGUUCCCAUCUUAUCACUGACAUUGAUAUAUUCAUGUUGCUUAAACUGAAUCGCUGCAUGUGCACCUUAAAUGCACAUUGUGCAUCAGGGUUCUUGAGUGGGUUCCUUAGUGUGGGUUUGGGUACAUACACAUAAUUAGAGCAGCUGGAAGCCUUUGUUUGCAGGUUAAGGAAUUCACCUGGAUCCCAAAUCAAGCCUCCAAGCACCUCUGUCCCAUUCAGGGGUUGAUUUACUCUGCUUGGUGUCUCAGUUUCCCUCUGCAGGAUGAGGGUAGAAUAAAUCCACCUGUAAGAUGUGAGAAGUGCAAGGGCAGUAAAUGCUUCAGCAGACAGGAGCAGUGAUCCUGAUUUCACAGCCCCCCUAAUUACACUGUGAGGACUCAGCCUUUUUUUUUUUUUUGAUGUAGCAGCAUGUGAUGGUGGAUGCCAUUGAUUUAGUAAUCCCACCUGUAGUAUAAGCUCUUCAUUUCUGGUGCUUUCAUCCCUACCAUUCCACUGACACAGGAUGGUGUUCUGUGUUUAACUGUAGCAAUAUGAAUCUCAUAAGCUUGCAAGCACAUGUGGGAUACAGGCAGAAUCUGAGGUACACUGAACAUAUUCACAGCUCUCUGUGCAAAGGAAGUGUGCCAUCAGCCUGUUCAUCAUCAUGUCAUCAGGUUCUCCUCUAUGCUCACAGCUGA